rnacentral:misc_RNA from 1 species
GGAAGUAAAAGUCGUAACGAGGUCUCCGUAGGUGAACCUGCGGAGGGAUCAUUACAGAGUUCAUGCCCUACCGGGUAGAUCUCCCACCCUAUGUUAUUAUUACUUUGUUGCUUUGGCGGGCCGUUAGGCUCCGGCCCGACUACCGACCCCGGCUGGUAAGCGCCCGCCAGAGGACCCAAAACCCUGAAUAUUAGUGUCGUCUGAGUACUAUAUAAUAGCUAAAACUUUCAACAACGGAUCUCUUGGUUCUG